ACUCCUACGGGAGGCAGCAGUGGGGAAUAUUGCACAAUGGGCGCAAGCCUGAUGCAGCCAUGCCGCGUGUGUGAAGAAGGCCUUCGGGUUGUAAAGUCACUUUCAGUUGUGAGGAAGGUAGGUGUCGUUAAUAGCGGCAUCAUUUGACGUUAGCAACAGAAGAAGCACCGGCUAACUCCGUGCCAGCAGCCGCGGUAAUACGGAGGGUGCGAGCGUUAAUCGGAAUUACUGGGCGUAAAGCGCAUGCAGGUGGUUUGUUAAGUCAGAUGUGAAAGCCCGGGGCUCAACCUCGGAACUGCAUUUGAAACUGGCAGACUAGAGUACUGUAGAGGGGGGUAGAAUUUCAGGUGUAGCGGUGAAAUGCGUAGAGAUCUGAAGGAAUACCGGUGGCGAAGGCGGCCCCCUGGACAGAUACUGACACUCAGAUGCGAAAGCGUGGGGAGCAAACAGGAUUAGAUACCCUGGUAGCACGGGG
rnacentral:rRNA from 1 species